UGGGGAAUAUUGCACAAUGGGGGAAACCCUGAUGCAGCGACGCCGCGUGAACGAAGAAGGUAUUCGUAUCGUAAAGUUCUGUCCUAUGGGAAGAUAAUGACAGUACCAUAGAAGAAAGCUCCGGCUAAAUACGUGCCAGCAGCCGCGGUAAUACGUAUGGAGCGAGCGUUGUCCGGCAUUAUUGGGCGUAAAGGGUACGCAGGCGGUUUAAUAAGUCGAAUGUUAAAGAUCGGGGCUCAACCCCGCAAAGCAUUGGAAACUGAUAAACUUGAGUAGUGGAGAGGAAAGUGGAAUUCCUAGCGUAGUGGUGAAAUACGUAGAUAUUAGGAGGAAUACCAGUAGCGAAGGCGACUUUCUGGACACAAACUGACGCUGAGGUACGAAAGCGUGGGGAGCAAACAGG
rnacentral:rRNA from 1 species